GACGAACGCUGGCGGCGUGCCUAAUACAUGCAAGUCGAGCGAAUCAAUGGGAGCUUGCUCCCUGAGAUUAGCGGCGGACGGGUGAGUAACACGUGGGUAACCUGCCUGUAAGACUGGGAUAACUUCGGGAAACCGGAGCUAAUACCGGAUACAUUCUUUUCUCGCAUGAGGAGAGAUGGAAAGAUGGUUCUGCUAUCACUUACAGAUGGACCCGCGGCGCAUUGGCUAGUUGGUGAGGUAAUGGCUCACCAAGGCGACGAUGCGUAGCCGACCUGAGAGGGUGAUCGGCCACACUGGGACUGAGACCCGGCCCAGACUCCUACGGGAGGCAGCAGUAGGGAAUCUUCCGCAAUGGACGAAAGUCUGACGGAGCAACGCCGCGUGAGCGAAGAAGGCCUUCGGGUCGUAAAGCUCUGUUGUUAGGGAAGAACAAGUACGAGAGUAACUGCUCGUACCUUGACGGUACCUAACCAGAAAGCCACGGCUAACUACGUGCCAGCAGCCGCGGUAAGAC
rnacentral:rRNA from 1 species